GUAACCUAUUAUAAAAAUUAAAACAACAAAAAUUCUAUGAGAGACUAAAUCAUUCUAUCACCUCUAAGAAUGUAAAUUGUACUUAACAUUUGUACAAAGUUAAUAUAACUUCUUCACCUGUUCAAUGGAUAAUUUAUAUCAGAUAUCUUGGGGGACACCUCAGGAGAGAGCCAAUCUGUGAUUCCGGGUGAAACAUCAAUAGUGAAGCGGGCUCAGGAUGAAGAAUCUGCAAUAGAAAUCUAAUUCCAAAAUAUAGUUUCAGCAGUAAAAGCAAUAUUUUAAUUAACACGUAUAAAUGCAUAGCUACCAUUACAAUCAAUUAUGUAUACUUCUUAGCACAAUCUUCUAUAUAAGUUCGUCUCAUUUCACAGUCAACGAUAAACUGCAUAGUCAAAAUAAAUAUACAACUAGCAGAUAAGAGACAUUCACCAAUAAUAUAUUUCUAAAUCCUAAUUCAGUAGCAAAAUCAUGUACAAACAUAUAGUCUCAAAUAAUAUCUUUAAGUCCAAUGUCUAACUAUGAACGACUAUUUUGUAAAUUAGCGGUACCAAAAUUUUACCAGUUGCAUAUAUACCUAAUCGAAUAAUCCAUGACUAAAAUCAUUAACCCAAAUGCAAAAAUCAUAAGUAUAGCUCAUCAAGUUUGAACAAUGAACAAUUAAAAUUGCACUUCUAUAUUGAAUUGAUUCACCGCAAAACUCUAUAGAGUCUGUUAUUACCACUCCCAAAAAGAAAAAAACGAAAUACCUUUCAUCGUUGUGCCCCAACUCAUCAAUUAAUCCUUCAUCGUCGUUGCCCUAGCUCGUCUUGCCGCCGUCGAUUAAUUGAUGACAUUAAGCAUCU
rnacentral:lncRNA from 1 species